rnacentral:rRNA from 1 species
AAGAGAUAUGAUCACGCGGGAGGUGACUAGCGCGGUCAUAGGCUUCAAACAUAGAUUUGAGAUAAACCUCAGCUGCAUUGACCAACGCAGACUGCAGCGUCUUACAAGCGCUGCAUUAUAUAAUUAGAUGAUAAGAACCUAUGUAAGAAUGAAUAAAAGGCGAUGCCCUCGCAGCAGCGAGUCAGUUAGAUUCAAACACCCGAAUUGAACUCAUUAAGUGUACGCAUUAGUUUAUAGUGUGAACAAGUGCUCUUAAACGAGUGUUAUUGUGGGCCGGUACUAUUACUUUGAACAAAUUAGAGUGCUUAAAGCAGGCUUCAAAUGCCUGAAUAUUCUGUGCAUCGGAUAAUGAAAUAAGACCUCAGUUCUGCUUUUAUUGGUUUUCAGAUCAAGAGGUAAUGAUUAAUAGAAGCAGUUUGGGGGCAUUAGUAUUACGACGCGAGAGGUGAAAUUCUUGGACCGUCGUAAGACUAACUUAAGCGAAAGCAUUUGCCAAAGAUGUUUUCAUUAAUCAAAAACGAAAGUUAGAGGUUCGAAGGCGAUCAGAUACCGCCCUAGUUCUAACCAUAAACGAUGCCAGCUAGCAAUUGGGUGUAGCUACUUUUAUGGCUCUCUCAGUCGCUUCCCGGGAAACCAAAGCUUUUGGACUCCGGGGGAAGUAUGGUUGCAAAGCUGAAACAUAAAGGAAUUGACGGAAGGGUACCACCAGGAGUGGAGCCUGCGGCUUAAUUUGACUCAACACGGGAAAACUUACCAGGUCCGAACAUAAGUGUGUAAGACAGAUUGAUAGCUCUUUCUCGAAUCUAUGGGUGGUGGUGCAUGGCCGUUCUUAGUUCGUGGAGUGAUUUAUCUGGUUAAUUCCGAUAACGAACGAGACUCAAAUAUAUUAUUUUAUAUUAUAAUUAUAUUAAAUAGAUAUCUUCAGGAUUAUGGUGCUGAAGCUUAUAUAGCCUUCAUUCAUGGUGGCAGUAAAAUGUUUAUUGUGUUUGAAUCGGAUUAUGUAAGUGGCGCCGUACCUGUUGGUUUGUCCCAUUAUAAGGACACUAGGACAAAUUGCGUCUAGCAAUAAUGAGAUUGAGCAAUAACAGAUCUGUGAUGACCUUAGAUGUCCUGGGCUGCGCGCUACAAUGAAAGUAUAAACGUGCCUUUCCUAGACCGAGAGGUCCGGGUAAACCGCUGAACCACUUUCAUGCUUGGGAUUGUGAACUGAAACUGUUCACAUGAACUUGGAAUUCCCAGUAAGUGUGAGUCAUUAACUCGCAUUGAUUACGUCCCUGCCCUUUGUACACACCGCCCGUGGCUACUAGCGAUUGAAUUAUUUAGUGAGGUCUCCGGACGUGAUCACUGUGACGCCCUGCGUGUUACGGUUGUUUCGCAAAAGUUGACCUAACUUGAUUAUUUAGAGGAAGUAAAAGUCGUAACAAGGUUUCCGUAGGUGAACCUGCGGAAG